rfam:Schistosoma margrebowiei strain Zambia genome assembly, scaffold: SMRZ_contig0004580
AUCCAGCUGGCGAGUCCUAAAUAGAACGAAUCACGCGUACUGGAU